ensembl:snRNA U6 U6 spliceosomal RNA
UCACUUCAGCAGCAAAUAUACUAAAAUUGAAACAAUACAGAGAAGAUUAGUAUGGCCCUUGCAUAAAGAUGGUGUGCAAAUUUGUGAAGUGUUCCAUAUUUUU